rnacentral:lncRNA from 1 species
CCCCUUUCAUUUUCAUUUAUCCCAGCCAAAGCAUCUGCUGCAGUGUUCUAUGCACCUUCUGAGUCUUUUCAUGCAUGAUACUUAGGAGGACCUACAGCCAAAGAGAGAGACUACUCAUGCCUUCAUUGAUAACCAGUGGCCCUAUGAGAGGUCCUUGUCUACUGUCUAUCUGGGCUGAAGAAUGUUUUUGUAACUUAUUAAACCAAGUAUCAUUUUCUACUUGUAGAAAGUUUGUCCCUUGGGUCUGGAAAUAUCCUGAGAAAAUGUCCACCCAGACUGACCUGAGGUGCAUUUUCUUGAUGAUUAGUACGGA